UGGCUCUCUUCCUCUUUUUCCUGUCAUGUGAAACAUGCCUGUUUCCCCUUUGCUUUCUGCCAUGAUUAUAAGUUUCCUGAGGCCUUCCCAGCCAUGCUUCCCGUACAGCCUUCGGAACUGCACUAGACAAUCCAAAAGAUCUACAAAAACUUUACAUCUACAAGCCAAGGCACUGAAUCUCAGCCCCAGAAAGAGACUGUGACCUUCCUUCCUCAUCAGGAUCCCAAGAAGCCGUAGAACAAGAGGCUAAGAGGUUCGAAGGACACUGGAAAGGCUUCAUGCUGCUGUAGGUUGUGGAUGGACAAGCUUUGUGUCUGGAGCUGCUGUAGUGGGCCACUCAGUUAGUUCACCCAGGCUCCCACAUUCUCCAUGCUCUGUUUCAGGAAACAACCAGAACUGUGGACAGUCUUACCAAAGACACUAACAUCAUCACCAGAGAAUUAAAGAAAUCCAGUGAGUGGCCCACAACAAUUGGCUGGCAUAGGACAUGAUCCUAGCUUCCCACAGGGCACUUGGGAUUGUGCAGUCAGAAGUGAUUGAUGUGCAUAUGUUUCCACAGACCUCUCUGAUGUCUAUGCCGUCACCAAAAAUAUUCAGACUGCAAACCAGGAAAUGCAUUGAAUUGCCACCAUUGUCCUUAUACUUCCGUUUAAGGACACUCCAGGCCCAACGUCUCAAGGCCUUUUAGGCUAGCUUCCUUCAAACCUCAAAUCUUGGUUGCUGUCUAAUUUAACCUUUAACCCUUUUACCAUUUGCCCUGAGAACACUUGCCGGCAGCACUUCCAGCUGCAGCGUUUACCCAAAGAUACCUCUGCCAGGAAAGACCUUGCUUUUAUUAUUACUUUUGCAUUUCUCUAGCAUAUUGACAUUGGAAACAAAAGACAUCAUUCUAUAUAUAGCAUUCUGGUUUUAGUGGUGGUAGUUCCAUUUACAAAAUAUAGUAAUUCUUGAUCACUGAAAAUGUCAGAGCCUAGAAAACGGAGCAUUCCUAUGCGUGAUGUUAACAUCAUUAAACAGUUGUUGGCCAAAGACUCAUGUGAUGAAUCCAAUUUUUCUAAAAUAAAUAGCUCAGAUGAUUCAGAUGAUUCUGAUAUUAGGUCUGUUUAGAAAUAAAACUUCAAAAACAGUUUUUAUAUUUUACUUCCACAUUGAAAAUCAGUCAGAUUUGCUUUGGCCUCAAAGAAUGUGUUCAUGUAAAAUUAAAUGAGCACUAGCAGCCA
rnacentral:lncRNA from 1 species